AGGACGGAGCGGCAGCGGGGCGGGAAGGCCCGGCCGGGCGGGGAGCGAGCUGCGGGGACGCUGCGGGGGCACGACCCGAGCGCGCCGUCGUGCCGCAGCCGCGUGCCAAGGGCGGUAAAUGCGAGGGUGCGGUGCGGUGCGGUGGGCGCUCGCGCGCGCGACGCCUCCCUCACAGAAAGGCGGGCUGUGGAGCUCCCGCCCUUCCCCUCUGCGCCGCCGUUCCCUCUGGGGCACAGCGGUAGCGCUCCUCGUCUUGCUCGCCAGAAAUCCACCCCACUGGAAUCCGAUGGCAGAAGUUUGCGUUCUCCUACCGAAUUGGUGAUUGUCAAGGUGUGGCUCAGCCCUCCAGAAAGUCAUUUGCUUUAGAACUUCCCUGUGCAGAGCCAUGCCUCAGUGCCAGGAUGACUGAACUCUUCAUCUACACGGUGGAAAGAAAAACUGAGCUCAAAACGGAGAUGCUCUUGCAGGUGAUGACAAAAGAUGGCGCGAAACGGCUGUCACCUCUCAGACAGAGUGGCAAACAACCAUCAGUGCGUGGCAUGUGGCAAGAAUCUUGCAAAAUGCCGUUGCAGGAAGGGGCAGACAUACUCCUUGGGGAGCGGGCUUUCCUGCUGAGUCUACCCUGAAAGAAUUAAUCACAGAGCUUCAACUGUGUUUCCAUUUCCCAAAGCUGGGGCCUGUCUGGGCCCCACAGCUAGGUCAGUGAUAAAACCAUAGCAGAGAUUGCUUCAGCAUUAUAAAUCAGCAAAAUUUACUGGUGGUACAUCACACCACUGCAGUAUUGCUAAAUGCAUCAGUGGAGCAAUAUUAUGGCAAACUUUUCUCAUCAAUAAAGCCUUUGCUUCAUUUUUUUCAUGUUUAA